GACGAACGCUGGCGGCGUGCUUAACACAUGCAAGUCGAACGGUGAAGGGACCAGCUUGCUGGUUCUGGAUGAGUGGCGAACGGGUGAGUAACACGUGAGUAACCUGCCCCCUUCUUCUGGAUAACCGCAUGAAAGUGUGGCUAAUACGGGAUAUUCUGGGUCUGUCGCAUGGCGGGCCCGGGAAAGAUAUUGCUUCGGUGGGGGAUGGGCUCGCGGCCUAUCAGCUUGUUGGUGGGGUGAUGGCCUACCAAGGCGGUGACGGGUAGCCGGCCUGAGAGGGUGGACGGUCACACUGGGACUGAGACACGGCCCAGACUCCUACGGGAGGCAGCGGUGGGGAAUAUUGCACAAUGGGCGCAAGCCUGAUGCAGCGACGCCGCGUGAGGGAUGGAGGCCUUCGGGUUGUAAACCUCUUUCGCCAGUGAAGCAGGCCUGCUCCUUGUGGGUGGGUUGACGGUAGCUGGAUAAGAAGCGCCGGCUAACUACGUG
rnacentral:rRNA from 1 species